AUUGAACGCUGGCGGCAUGCUUUACACAUGCCAGUCGAACGGCAGCGCGGGCUUCGGCCUGGCGGCGAGUGGCGAACGGGUGAGUAAUACAUCGGAACGUGCCCAGUAGUGGGGGAUAGCUCGGCGAAAGCCGGAUUAAUACCGCAUACGACCUGAGGGUGAAAGCGGGGGAUCUUCGGACCUCGCGCUAUUGGAGCGGCCGAUGGCAGAUUAGCUAGUUGGUGGGGUAAAGGCCUACCAAGGCGACGAUCUGUAGCUGGUCUGAGAGGACGACCAGCCACACUGGGACUGAGACACGGCCCAGACUCCUACGGGAGGCAGUAGUGGGGAAUUUUGGACAAUGGGCGAAAGCCUGAUCCAGCAAUGCCGCGUGUGUGAUGAAGGCCUUCGGGUUGUAAAGCACUUUUGGCGGGAACGAAAAGGACUGUGCCAAUACCACGGUUCGAUGACGGUACCCGCAGAAUAAGCACCGGCUAACUACGUG
rnacentral:rRNA from 1 species